rnacentral:rRNA from 1 species
UACGGAGGGUGCAAGCGUUGUUCGGAAUUACUGGGCGUAAAGGGCGCGUAGGCGGCACAGCAAGUCGGGAGUGAAAGCCCGGGGCUCAACCCCGGAAUGGCUUUCGAAACUGCUGAGCUAGAGUACAGAAGGGGCAACCGGAAUUCCCAGUGUAGCGGUGAAAUGCGUAGAUAUUGGGAAGAACACCUGAGGCGAAGGCGGGUUGCUGGGCUGAUACUGACGCUGAGGCGCGAAAGCCAGGGGAGCAAACGGG